GGACGAACGCUGGCGGCGUGCCUAACACAUGUCAAGUCGAACGAGGUCCAUGCAGUGGCAACACUGCGGAAGACCUAGUGGCGAACGGGUGAGUAACACGUGAGGAACUUGCCCCGGAGACCGGGAUAAGCCCCCGAAAGGGGGUCUAAUACCGGAUGUCCUCACCGAGUCGCAUGGCUUGGUGAGGAAAUGGAUUCCGCUCCGGGAGAGCCUCGCGGCCUAUCAGCUAGUUGGUGGGGUAACGGCCCACCAAGGCGUCGACGGGUAGCUGGUCUGAGAGGACGAUCAGCCACACUGGGACUGAGACACGGCCCAGACUCCUACGGGAGGCAGCAGUGGGGAAUCUUGCGCAAUGGGCGAAAGCCUGACGCAGCAACGCCGCGUGCGGGAUGACGGCCCUCGGGUUGUAAACCGCUUUCAGUGGGGACGAACCAAGACGGUACCCACAGA
rnacentral:rRNA from 1 species